AACCUAGCACACCUGCGGUGUGUACCUGCGGAAGGAUCAUUACCGAGUUAGGGUCUUUUGGCCCGACCUCCAACCCUUUGUUUAUUAUACCAUGUUGCUUUGGUGGGCCUGCCUUUCGGGGCUGCCGGGGGCAUCACUGCCCCUGACUCGUGCCUGCCAGGAGCCUUCUUAAAUUCAGUGUUCAACGGUGCUGUCUGAGUCCCAGUAUCAAAAUAUCAAAAACUUUCAGCAACGGAUCUC
rnacentral:misc_RNA from 1 species